rnacentral:misc_RNA from 1 species
UGUAAUAGGCUCCUUGCAUCACAUUGAGUACCUGUUAAAGUGUUAAUUACUCCCAAGUACAAUCAACCUGCAUCUUCGUAUGGUGAAAGCACACUCGAAUACAGGAACAUAUUUUCAUUAAUCACAUAUGCACAUCCUUGCAUAAAUAUCUAUGUAUAUUAUAUGUUUCAAUGAUUAACCCCAGCCCUGAGCAUCAACCCUAGUAACUUCGUCAAUCAGUUCCCUUCCAUGUCCCAGGGGCAGGGGUUAAAAUCCAGGAUUCAGAACACUGACCAACCAUGGGCUGACCAUAUAUUGGAAGAAUAUAAUAUGGCCACAAAGCUAACUUAGAUGUUAUCUGUGUGACUUCAGUUGAAUGACUGCAAAACUUCAGGACUUUUUUUUAAAAAAAAAAAAUCCCAUAUAUUAUUGGCUUAAAGGACUUGGUCUUCCGUCCUCAUUACUUUCAUAUUUAAUUAGUCAUUUUCAUUUCAUGUAUACCAUGGACAUUUUAACAAACUCCAUAAAAUAACUACGUAAAGA